UUAACAUCUCAAAUCGAUGCAUAGUCAUCCAUUAACUUUAAUAGUUAUGUAGCAUUCGUUUAAAAGUUGAAUGCAUAAUCUCUAAAAAAAACUUUUGUUUCUCAAGUUAACAUUUUUACCUAAAUCCCUCAUCUGUCAUUACAGUUGAUAGUGAAAGUUUUUUUCCUUAUUUAUACAAAACAGUGAAACUGACAAAUUGUUCCUUUCAUUUUGUCUCUGGCAGUGGAAUCACCCUUACAAAGUUAGUCAGAGUGAUUGUUCUUUGCUUUUCAAGGAGAAGUUUUUGUGGUUUACUAUUUUAAAAUGUACCUAUCUUUGGAGCUUCUUGGUUUCUUGCACGACCUAGUUUUAUUGCCGGUACCAUCGAGCAUGUUUGGUCCACCAUUGAGGCGCAUGCUCGUAGAGAAGCACGAGGAUCAGCCAUCAACACCAUCACAAUUCUAAUCCAAAGAGCUGCAUUUGUAGGAAAGAUAUUUUUAUUUUUCGUUUAUUUUCUCUUUUCCUUGUAUAGGGUAGUUCCACGUAACUGGAGAGUUCAUGUGUAGCGUCCAAAUGUAUACGAUUACAUUUGUUCUUUUGAGAAUUACAAAAAGAAAACAUAGGCCCCGUUUGU